rnacentral:rRNA from 1 species
UACGGGGGGGGCAAGCGUUGUUCGGAAUUACUGGGCGUAAAGCGCGCGUAGGCGGCUUUUCAAGUCGAGUGUGAAAUCUCCAGGCUUAACCUGGAAGGGUCGCUCGAUACUGUUGAGCUAGAGUGUGGAAGGGGCUACUGGAAUUCCGUGUGUAGCGGUGAAAUGCGUAGAUAUCUGGAGGAACACCGGUGGCGAAGGCGGCAUCCUGGACCAUUACUGACACUGAAAAGCGAAAGCCAGGGGAGCAAACGGG